rnacentral:rRNA from 1 species
AGAAUGACUCUCGGCAACGGAUAUCUCGGCUCUCGCAUCGAUGAAGAACGUAGCGAAAUGCGAUACUUGGUGUGAAUUGCAGAAUCCCGUGAACCAUCGAGUCUUUGAACGCAAGUUGCGCCCGAAGCCGUUAGGCCGAGGGCACUGCCUGGGCAUCUCAC